GCGGGGCUUCAGGAAGCCUGGAGGGAUCCCAGCUCCCUCAGCAAUAGCUCUGUGAUUUCCGCAAUUCAGACAAUCUCCGUAGAUGAGGUUUGUUAUUGUUUUUACAAAAUUGAAAAAUCCCUUUGUAUUAUAAAAUUUUCACUGUAGGAGUGUGAAAUGAAGAGGUCCUGCACUCAGAAAGCCACUCCCAGAACACAGUUCAUACCGAUUUAUACCAGGGUAGGUUUGUUACUUGGGGCGGGAGGGGAGGGCAGCAUGACUGCCCAUGUCUGAUGCCUGUGGUAUUUGAUAAAUGUUCGUUGACCACGUGAAUGUUUAAUCACUAUGUAAGGGACUGGAAGAAGACAGGGUUUUGCAAUAUGAUAGAGGGAAGUAUUUUAGGAAGUAGUGCUCUACUGACAAAUAAUGGACUUACGUUCAGAUUAUGUUAAGUAAUUCUGGAGGCAAGGAAAAUAUCGAGUUGGAUAUUCUGCCUUCAGAACUAAAAAUCAACUUUCACUUCAUCAAGUUUUUACCUUAAGGGUGCUACUGUCUUUUCUUUAACUGAGUACAUUCCCAGAAGGAAACCAAAAACCUAAAGGUAAUUACCUAGUAAGACUCUAAGGAGACUAGAUACUGUUGGCUUUAUUUAGUUUACAAAAUUUCUUAUCAAAUAUAAUGCCAUUUGAUUAUAUAGGGGCCUGUAAUGUUAAAACAUAGUUUUGCGCUUUCAACUUUUAGUUAAUUUGCCUAAUUAAAUUAUCUUAAACACAAUUUAUGUCUUCUCAGGCAAGAAAACUCGCUGCAAAUAUGUUGUACAUUAGCAAAUCUCAGUAUGCCCUACAGAUGAAUAAAUGAGUCCUUACUAUUAAAGCAAUAAGCUGGGAUAAUUUUAGCUGUCACUCAUUCAGUCAUUCAUUCAUUCACGGUUUACUGCCUAUCUACAUGUCCAGCACUGUGCCGGCAAAUAGAUACAAAGAAGAGAGUGAGGCAGCCCCUCCUAGAACGGACAGUCCACUGGGUGAAGAGUGAUAAUACAGUCACGUCCAACAAGUCAAUCAGUGGCCGCUCUCAAGGAGAGAGCCGGUGGAGAAGAUGUGAGGGAGGAGGCUGUGGGCCUAGAGCAUUGGUGGUAGGACCGUGGUAGGGUUAUCUGGGUGUCGGGAGAAGCCUCGCUGUGCUCAGGGCUCAAGUAUGAAAACCCGCAGCUCAGGGAUCAGUCAUGGUGCAGGAGUGAGGUGAGUUUUCCCUCCUAUUAUUUAGCCCAAAGAGGGAAGAGGUUCGUUCAGUGUGAUCUAGUUUCGGACCGUGUCCCUAUCCUGGCACACACCGGGAGCGCCCAGGGCCUGACUCAGCUGCUGACGUCAGUACCAUAAGCCAUUGGCGCAGCUCCAGAAUUUCCAGGCCUUCCCUGACUGCUGGGGGUUAUUAGUCGGACCGACUUGAGCUUCUAGGGUGACCCAUUAGAACAGACCUAAACUACAUCCUUUCCUUACAUCCCCCCCUCUUUUUUUUUUUCUCUCUAAACAACGCUUACUUACUCAUGACUUUUGGUCCUGCCUGAGUGCUGUGUUCUGGGGAAAGAGAAGGAUCAGACUGUAUUACAGCUACUUCAUACACAACCUGCAACCGAGGUAGAGCCUGAUUCUCUAAUCCAUGAACACCAUGGACACCUGAACACCAUGGAAAGGGAAGUAGGGUCUUCUAGGAGAAACCAGAGACGUGUGGGGCCUACUCUUGAAGAGACUACAAUACUGUACAUUCCUGUAGACCCAAGACCAACUCUACACAACAUUCAAGGGCAGGUUCGUCGUCGGUGUUUUAACUUAUCCCUUUGUUUGCCAUCCUGGAACCUGCUCCCAGCCCUCCCUGGUGACUUGCACGGUAAGACUUGGGAUGGGUAAGGAGUGUAUCUUUCUGUGGGCAGUAAGGGACAGUGAUGGAGAAAGGAAAGGUUUGCAUCACAGGGAGCUGGUUUCUGGGAGAGAAUACAAGCUGAGAAUUUAGAAGUUGAUUCUCCUAAAACUGUCCUCACAUAACCAUCAGGAAGAACUGUAUCUCAAGCAGUAUGCGUACACCCAUUUGAAGACAGAAGUCUAUGAAAACUAAUCUUGGGUGCGCCUGGGUGGCUCAGUGAGUUAAAGCCUCUGCCUU